rnacentral:lncRNA from 1 species
UGAGACGAAAAAUAUGCAUGCGAGCGAGAGAGACAUUGAGACGCAGAGAGUGAACGAAGUGAGACGGAGAGGAGAAGGGUUAGGCUAGUUGAGCUUUUGGUUGAGAGAGUUUCAACGAGAUUGAGAAGAUGGAGAGCGAUACAGAGAGAGUGAGGUUAGCGAUGCAGAGGGAGUGAGAUUGGGAGGAGAGGAUUCGAGAGCUAGAAGACGAAGUCUGUUUUUUUUUCUUUUCUUUUUUAAUUUUCUUUCCCUAAUUUAUUUUAGAUAGGAUAUUUAUUUAGAUUAGAAAUUUAAAAAUCAUUUUAGUUUAGACUUUUUUUUUUUAAAUAAUGUUAGUUUAGAUUUUUUUAAAAUCAUUUUAGUUUAGACCUUUUUUAAAAAAUAAUUUUAGUUUAGAUUUUUUAAAAUAAUGUUAGUUUAGAUUUUUUUAAAAUCAUUUUAGUUUAGAUUUUUUAAAAUAAUUUUAGUUUAGAUUUUUAAAAUAAUAUUAGUUUAGAUCUUGUAGGAUAUAGUUAGAAUUUUUAAAUUAGAUUUAGGCUUAGAGUAAAAUACUAAUUAAUUAGUUUUUUUAUUUUGUUAGGUUUUUAAUUUUUAGGGCGGGUUUAGUUCCACUUUAAGCCCCUUUUUUUUUUAUUAUUAGUUUUUUCUAUUUUUUUUUACUUAGUUUAUAUAUUUAAAUUAGUACUAAAAUAUCAAUUAGUUGUUAAGUGGCUGGUGGGGAGGAGUGGUGUUUAGGUCUUUAGUGUAGUGGGUUCGAUACUCCUAGGUGUAGUUUUUCAUUCUUUUAAUUUUUUUUUUAUGCUUUAUUAUUUAUAUUUCUUUUUUUAUUUAUUGUUUAAUAAUAUGAUUUGUUUUUUUUCUUUUAAUUGCAUCAUACAUGCAAAACCAUUUUUAAAAAACAAAAAAAAUCAUAUUUUCUCGAUUUAAUAUCGAGCCCCUUUUUCAAACCCUUGUAAGUCGAUUGCUUUUUUAAGCAUCGCCGCCAACCUCACAUAGCUUACUCUUGAGCUUUCUUACAAUGAGCCGGUUCUCUUGCACUUACACUCAUGCAUUAUUUAUUUGGGUCCGAUUUUAUUUAUUUCAUGAUUGUGUAACCCCCAUUUGACAAAUGUACCCCACUCCCCCAAUGUGUAAUAAUUUUGUGAUUUUUAUUUCUUUUAUUGUUUGGUU